AGUUUGGAGACGGGGGCAGUGGUUGGAGAAGCAACACGAUCCUUGCCUGAGGACCUUGACUUUAAAACAACAGCUAACCAUCAUCAAAAUACAACUUCAGCGCAGGUUUUACUUUUAAUUGCAGCACGUAAAACAUUUUGAUGAAAUCCAUAAAGGAAGCAGCACAGGCCCCAUGCAUUGAUGAAGAGUUUGGUUAAAAGAGCUCGGGAUGUCUGUGGAUGGUUUCUAGUUCUGGCAAAUGGAACAUCAUGUUGGAGGUUGAACAAACCUAUGGGUUUGUCUGGCCAUUUCAAACCGAUGUAUUUUAUCAGAAUGGACUUUAAAACAAAUCUCUGCUGGUAAAAUUUUUUUACUGCUAACGAGAUCCAUUUGCAGGCUUCUGUUGCAUGGUUUUUUUCUGUUGACUGGGAUAACCACGAGCUGUAAGUCAGCAGGGAUCGUUCUGCUGUGAGUGUGGCCUCUCCAUCAGCUCUGCUCAGACCCAUGGGGAUGUGAGAAGCAGUCUUGCUGAAGAUAUCUUCCUGUGCUGCAGUUUGCUUUGCAGCCCUGUUAUCCUCUGUUGAAAGUGCUUUUGUAUAUUAAUAUUCCAUCUGUUAAAGCAUUAAAGCCACCCAGGGAG
rnacentral:lncRNA from 7 species